rnacentral:rRNA from 1 species
UACGGGGGGAGCAAGCGUUGUUCGGAUUUACUGGGCGUAAAGGGCGCGUAGGCGGUCAGCACAAGUCAGUUGUGAAAUCUCCGGGCUUAACUCGGAAAGGUCAACUGAUACUGUGCGACUAGAGUGCAGAAGGGGCAACUGGAAUUCUCGGUGUAGCGGUGAAAUGCGUAGAUAUCGCCUGGAACGCCGACGGUGAAAACAGCUCGCUGGGGGUGUUCUGACGCUGAGACACGAAAGCCAGGGGAGCGAACGGG